AUCCUACGGGACGCAGCAGUGGGGAAUAUUGCACAAUGGGGGAAACCCUGAUGCAGCAACGCCGCGUGAAGGAAGACGGUUUUCGGAUUGUAAACUUCUUUUCUUAGUGAAGAAGCAAGUGACGGUAGCUAAGGAAUAAGCAUCGGCUAACUACGUGCCAGCAGCCGCGGUAAUACGUAGGAUGCGAGCGUUAUCCGGAAUUACUGGGUGUAAAGGGAGCGCAGGCGGGUCUGCAAGUUGGAUGUGAAAUACCGCAGCUUAACUGCGGAGGCGCAUCCCAAACUGUAGCUCUUGAGUGGAGUAGG
rnacentral:rRNA from 1 species